UACGUAGGCAGCGAGCGUUGUUCGGAGUUACUGGGCGUAAAGAGUGCGUAGGCGGUUUUUCUAAGUUUGGUGUGAAAUCUCCCGGCUUAACUGGGAGGGUGCGCCGAAAACUGGAAGGCUUGAGUAUGGGAGAGGUAAGCGGAAUUCCUGGUGUAGCGGUGAAAUGCGUAGAUAUCAGGAGGAACACCUGCGGUGUAGACGGCUUUACUGGACCAUAACUGACGCUGAGGCACGAAAGCGUGGGUAGCAAACAGG
rnacentral:rRNA from 1 species